UACGUAGGGUGCGAGCGUUAAUCGGAAUUACUGGGCGUAAAGCGUGCGUAGGCGGUUCCUCAAGUCCGUUGUGAAAGCCCCGGGCUCAACCUGGGAAUGGCAGUGGAAACUAGGGGACUGGAAUCUGGCAGAGGGGGGUGGAAUGCCGCGUGUAGCAGUGAAAUGCGUAGAGAUGCGGCGGAACACCGAUGGCGAAGGCAGCCCCCUGGGCUGGAGAUUGACGCUCAGGCACGAAAGCGUGGGGAGCAAACAGG
rnacentral:rRNA from 1 species